rnacentral:rRNA from 1 species
AGCAGCCGCGGUAAUUCCAGCUCCAAUAGCGUAUAUUAAAGUUGUUGCAGUUAAAAAGCUCGUAGUUGAAUUUCGGGGUUAGUAGAUUGGUCAUGCCUCUGGUAUGUACUGGUCUCACUGAUUCCUCCUUCCUGAUGAACCUUAAUGCCAUUAAUUUGGUGUUUUGGGGAAUUUGGACUGUUACUUUGAAAAAAUUAGAGUGUUUAAAGCAAGCUAACGCUUGAAUACAUUAGCAUGGAAUAAUGAAAUAGGACGUUCGAUCCUAUUUUGUUGGUUUCUAGGAUUGACGUAAUGAUUAAUAGGGAUAGUUGGGGGCAUUAGUAUUCAAUUGUCAGAGGUGAAAUUCUUGGAUUUAUUGAAGACUAACUACUGCGAAAGCAUUUGCCAAGGAUGUUUUCAUUAAUCAAGAACGAAAGUUAGGGGAUCGAUGACGAUCAGAUACCGUCGUAGUCUUAACCAUAAACUAUGCUGACUAGGGAUCGGAUGAUGUUAAUUUUUUAAUGACUCA